GACGAACGCUGGCGGCGUGCUUAACACAUGCAAGUCGAACGAAAAGGCCCUGCUUUUGUGGGGUUCUCGAGUGGCGAACGGGUGAGUAACACGUGUGUAACCUGCCCUUUUCUUUGGGGUACCUUCAGGAAACUGGGGUUAAAAUACGACAGGAGCUCCUUCUGCAUGGUGGGUGUUGGAAAAUUUCGGCGGUUGGGGAUGGACUCGCGGCUUAUCAGCUUGUUGGUGGGGUAGUGGGUUACCAAGGCUUGGACGGGUAGCCGGCCUGGGAGGGUGACAGGCCACAUAGGGACUGAGAUACGGGCCAGACUCCUACGGGAGGCAGGAGUGGGAAACAGUGCACGAUGGGCGGCGGGCGGGUGCAGCAACGCCGCGUGCGGGAAGACGGCCUUCGGGGUAGAAACCGCUUUCGCCUGUGACGAAGCGUGAGUGACGGUAAUUGGUAAAGAAGCACCGGCUAACUACGUG
rnacentral:rRNA from 1 species